CCUACGGGUGGCAGCAGUGAGGAAUAUUGGUCAAUGGACGCAAGUCUGAACCAGCCAUGCCGCGUGCAGGAAGAAGGCUCUAAGAGUUGUAAACUGCUUUUGUACGGGAGUAAACGCAGAUACGUGUAUCUGUCUGAAAGUAUCGUACGAAUAAGGAUCGGCUAACUCCGUGCCAGCAGCCGCGGUAAUACGGAGGAUUCAAGCGUUAUCCGGAUUUAUUGGGUUUAAAGGGUGCGUAGGCGGUCGGAUAAGUUAGAGGUGAAAUCCCGAGGCUCAACUUCGGAAUUGCCUUUGAUACUGUUAGGCUAGAGAGUAGUUGAGGUAGGCGGAAUGUAUGGUGUAGCGGUGAAAUGCUUAGAGAUCAUGCAGAACACCGAUUGCGAAGGCAGCUUACCAAGCUCCUACUGACGUUGAGGCACGAAAGCGUGGGGAGCAAACAGGAUUAGAUACCCUAGUAGUC
rnacentral:rRNA from 1 species